rnacentral:lncRNA from 1 species
UGAAAUCGCAAACGAUCGCAAACGGAAACAGCAAACGAAAAUUAAAUCGCGUGAACUGAAAUGAAAUGGGAAUCCAGAAAUGAAAUCAGGUCGCGAAAUCUGACACGGAAACGAAAAAAUACGAGUGUGACUUGAAAUCAGAUCACAAAAACUCCAGAAACGAAAUCAUGAAUCCCUAAAUCUUCACGAUGACGGAAAUAUGAAGAAAUCGAUUGCAG